rnacentral:rRNA from 1 species
AUUGAACGCUGGCGGCAGGCCUAACACAUGCAAGUCGAACGAGUGGCGGACGGGUGAGUAAUGUCUGGGAAACUGCCUGAUGGAGGGGGAUAACUACUGGAAACGGUAGCUAAUACCGCAUACCAUCAGAUGUGCCCAGAUGGGAUUAGCUAGUAGGUGGGGCAAAGGCUCACCUAGGCGACGAGCCCUAGCUGGUCUGAGAGGAUGACCAGCCACACUGGAACUUAGACACGGUCCAGACUCCUACGGGAGGCAGCAGUGGGGAAUAUUGCACAAUGGGUGAAAGCCUGAUGCAGCCAUGCCGCGUGUAUGAAGAAGGCCUUCGGGGUGUAAAGUACGUUCAGCGGGGAGGCGUUACCCGCAGAAGAAGCACCGGCUAACUCCGUGCCAGCAGCCGCGGUAAUAC